rnacentral:rRNA from 1 species
CCUACGGGAGGCAGCAGUGAGGAAUAUUGGUCAAUGGACGAGAGUCUGAACCAGCCAAGUAGCGUGAAGGAUGACUGCCCUAUGGGUUGUAAACUUCUUUUAUAUGGGAAUAAAAUGUUCCACGUGUGGGAUUUUGUAUGUACCAUAUGAAUAAGGAUCGGCUAACUCCGUGCCAGCAGCCGCGGUAAUACGGAGGAUCCGAGCGUUACCCGGAUUUAUUGGGUUUAAAGGGAGCGUAGGUGGAUUGUUAAGUCAGUUGUGAAAGUUUGUGGCUCAACCGUAGAAUUGCAGUUGAAACUGGCAGUCUUGAGUGCAGUAGAGGUGAGCGGAAUUCGAGGUGUAGCGGUGAAAUGCUUAGAUAUCACGAAGAACUCCGAUUGCGAAGGCGGCUCACUGGCCUACAACUGACACUGAGGCUCGAAAGUGUGGGUAUCAAACAGGAUUAGAUACCCUAGUAGUC